CAAUUUCUUUCUAAACAAAAUGGAAUUAAGACCUUGCAAAAUAUAUAAACUCACAUGUUUCCUAUAACAUUACCUUUCGUGGCUCACCAGUUAGGAACAAUGUGAAAACAUUACUGUACUCCUGCCCCAGGGGAAGCUGAAACCCUUAAAGUGAUCAUGACCCUUGCCCCGACAAAUAAUGACGUCACAAGGAUGGAACAAUGGAAAUAAGCCAGCAAAUGAAGAACAUAGGAAGUCACAAGCGCCCAGAAGAGCAACAUGGAUUCAGAUUAUAAUGGGGCAGAACUUCGAUCACACCUUGUUUUGUGAAGCCCUUUCAUUCUCAUUAAGUUCUCUCACAACAAUCUCAUUUUUAUCAUCCUGAUUUAGUGUGAGUUUCCACUCAUUUCUCCUGCCUAGACUAAUGCUAAUAAAUAUCCUUGCUUAAUCAGA